GGUUGAUCCUGCCGGAGGUUACUGCUAUCGGUGUUUGACUAGGCCAUGCGAGUCAAAUGUUCUUCGUGAACAUGGCGUAAUGCUCAGUAACACGUGGAUAACCUGCCCUUAGGUCCGGCAUAAUCUCGGGAAACUGAGGAUAAUUCCGGAUAGCUCUUUUUGGCCGGAAAUGCAUUAAGAGUAAAAGUAUCUCGCCUAAGGAUGGGUCUGCGGCCUAUCAGGUAGUAGAGGGUGUAACGCACCUUCCAGCCGACAACGGGUACGGGUUGUGAGAGCAAGAGCCCGGAGAUGGAUUCUGAGACAUGAAUCCAGGCCCUACGGGGCGCAGCAGGCGCGAAAACUUUACAAUGCAGGAAACUGUGAUAAGGAAACACCGAGUGCCCGCAUCUAAUGCGGGCUGUCCGCGUACCCAAAUCGUACGCGUCAGCAAGGACCGGGCAAUACCGGUGCCAGCCGCCGCGGUAAUACCGGUGGUCCGAGUGGUAGCCGCUUUUAUUUGGUCUAAAGGGUCCGUAGCCGGUCCGGUCAGUCCAUUGGUAAAUCCGCGCGCUCAACACGCGGUCUUCAGUGGAUACUCCCGGACUUGGGACCGGGAGAGGUAAGAGGUACUAUAGGGGUAGGAGUGAAAUCCUGUAAUCCUCAUGAGACCACCUGUGGCGAAGGCGUCUUACCGGAACGGGUCCGACGGUGAGGGACGAAAGCUGGGGGCACGAACCGGAUUAGAUACCCGGGUAGUCCCAGCCGUAAACUAUGCCCGCUGGGUGUCAGGCAUGGCAUGACUGUGUCCGGUGCCGUAGAGAAGUCGUGAAGCGGGCCACCUGGGAAGUACGGCCGCAAGGCUGAAACUUAAAGGAAUUGGCGGGGGAGCACUACAACGGGUGGAGCCUGCGGUUUAAUUGGACUCAACGCCGGAAAACUCACCAGGGGGGACAGCAAUAUGUAGGUCAGGCUGAAGGUCUUACCCGAAUCGCUGAGAGGAGGUGCAUGGUCGUCGCCAGUUCGUACUGUGAAGCAUCCUGUUAAGUCAGGCAACGAGCGAGACCCUU
rnacentral:rRNA from 1 species